AGGAGUGCCAGAGAGGGGCCACUUCACUGACAUGAAGGUGAGAGACAAGGCUGACUCAUACCCUGGGAAAUAAAACCUGUGACAAGGACCGGGAAGAGAAAACUCUGCCUUUGCUUCAUAGGGAGCCUCUUACUCUCUGCAAGCGAGUUUCUCACUCCCUGCAAAUAGUGAAAGAUUAAGUGAAUGCUCGAGUCUUUGACAAGGCAGUUGCCGCAGGUGUACUGAAGUUUUGAUUGAUCCUCUGCUGCUGAUUGUUCAAAGUGAACCACAAGAGAGAAGUUUGAGUAGAGAAUUUACUACCAAGCAGUCCAAGAGGCCCAGAAGCAAACCUGGAGGUGACACCUGAAGAAAGGUGGGACCAUGCUAACCUUGAACACAGUGAAGAAGCAGACUCGGUUCAUGAAAACGCUGCCAUCACUGCAGAGAAGGAAGACGAGGGUCCCCAAAUCUGCCGUGUAUGUGGAGACAAGGCCACUGGUUAUCACUUCAAUGUCAUGACGUGUGAAGGAUGCAAGGGCUUUUUCAGGAGGACCGUGAAACGCAACGCCCGGCUGAGGUGCCCCUUCUGGAAGGGCACCUGCGAGAUCACCCGGAAGACCCGGCGGCAGUGUCAGGCCUGCCGCCUGCGCAAGUGCCUGGAGAGUGGCAUGAAGAAGGAGAUGAUCAUGUCCGAUGCCGCUGUGGAGCAGAGGCGGGCCUUGAUCGACAGGAAAAAGAAGGAGCGGAUUGAGACUCAGCCCCCAGGCGUGAAGGGUCUGACUGAAGAGCAGCAGACGAUGAUCAGGGAGCUUAUGGACGCUCAGAUGAAAACCUUUGACACCACCUUCUCCCAUUUCAAGAAUUUCCGACUGCCAGAGAUGCUUAGCGGUGUCCAGGAGAUUCCAGAGUCUCUGCAGUCCUCCUUGGCAGAAAAAGCCGCCAAAUUGAGACAGAUCAGGGGGGAUCUGGGCCUAGUGAAGGUCUCCCUGCAGGUGCGGGGGGAGGACGGCAGCAUCUGGAACUACAAACCCCCGGCUGACAACAGUGGGAAAGAGAUCUUUUCCAUGCUGCCCCACAUUGCUGACAUGUCAACCUACAUGUUCCAAGGCAUCAUCAACUUUGCCAAAGUCAUCUCCCACUUCCGGGACUUGCCCAUCGAGGAUCAGAUCUCCCUGCUGAAAGGGGCCACCUUUGAGCUGUGCCAACUGAGAUUCAACACGAUGUUCAAUGCAGAGACCGGGACCUGGGAGUGUGGUCGGCUCUCCUACUGCUUGGAAGACCCUACAGGUGCCCAAGAGACUCUCGUCUGUCCUGGCAGAGGGAGGGACACACAACAGUUGUGGGAAGAAAGGAGCGACUCCAGGAAAUGGGGCUUCCAGCAGCUUCUCCUGGACCCUGUGCUGAAAUUCCACUACAUGCUGAAGAGGCUGCAGCUGCAUGAGGAGGAGUACGUGCUGAUGCAGGCCAUCUCCCUUUUCUCGCCAGCAGACCGCCCAGGCGUGGUGCAGCGUGGCGUGGUGGACCAGCUACAGGAGCGCUUUGCCAUGGCACUGAAGGCCUACAUCGAUUACAGGCGGCCCCAGCCCGCCCACCGGUUCCUGUUCCUGAAGAUCAUGGCUAUACUCACCGAGCUUCGCAGCAUCAAUGCCUAUCACACCCAGAGGCUGCUGUGCAUCCAGGACUUACACCCCUUCGCCACCCCGCUCAUGUGUGAGCUGUUCAGCAUCACAGAUGGCUGAGCAGCUGCCCCUUGGGCAGAACCUCCAUCGGAGUUGCCACUCCUGGGGCUGGACAGGUGGACACCACCGACAGCCAAUCAUGAGCCACUGACCCCGCCUCCCCGUGGAACUCCCUGUCUGCUGCAACCACAGCUGGCUAGCUUUCCUCAAAAGGGGACAUGAGUCCUCUCACCCUCGGCCCCCCAGGUCCCAGCUCAGCCUGUGGAGAGUAAAGCCAUAGAUGCUUAAGUUGAGAGCACACUGGCCCAUAAGUUAGAACCCUCAGAGAGGCAAGGCUGCCCUUCUCUUUGCAAAGACCCUGCGGUCUGGGGGUGCAGUGCUGUGGCGGGGGAGGGGAAGGGCCAAUCAGGACCUGGGCCAUCUGAGUUCAUUCGUUUCUUGGGUCUUUUCUCUGCCCCCCCACCCCACUCUUUCCCCACCCCCAGCCUCCUGUCUUGAGCUACCUGGUCUGAUUCGGGCCUGGGUUCAUCAGCAGGCGUGGUAGGUUUUGUGGGAGACCAGGAUGUCUGCAACAAAGCCAGAAGCUUGUCGUGACCUAUGUGUUUAUUCUUCCCGCAUUCUGGGCACCUCACUCUGGCUCUCUGCUUCUAGUCAGACGACACAUUAUUAAGCACCUACAAUAAGCAUCAUCCCGAGGGGUAGACUCAGACAUCGAUCCUGAUCUCAAAGAGUUUAUGGCUAAGUAAAGAAAACGAAACAGAAACACAAAUAACCCUGAUUGUAAGGAGAAGUGAUAACUGGCACAAGAAACUCAAAGAUUUUCUGCGUGGAUGCUGAGCUGUGCUGGGGUUUUCUGCAGUAUCUGGGAGCCUGAGGGGGAGUUCCCCAGGACACGUGUUCAUGAGUGGAAGCUCUAGGGCUCCCUGGCGCUAAACAAAGUCCCUGGAUGGACUAAGUAUGAAACGGAACCGGUCACUGCUACUGAGGAGGAAAUACGCUCAGAUUCAAAACAAAGGCAGAGCUUGAAUGAAAUGAGAUUAAGAACAUGGUUUCCUCUUCCCACUGAGCACGGUAUCACUGAAACUUAACUGUGGAAGGGACAAAGAUACUGUUUUAUGAGUUGAGCUAUUAUUUAAAAGGAAAAGGAAGUGGGAGAGGGAGACAUGGAUAAAGGAAACCAGUUACAAUUUUAAGAACUGAAAAACAAAAACAUGGAAGCGAAGGCACUCCAAACUAUAGAUACACUAUACAUUGCUAGUUAUUGUUACAAUACAGGCCGGUACCUACUGUACAGAGUUAAAACUAUAUGGCUUUAAAAAGCUCGUCUACAUUUUGUCUGAUUAUUAAACAGAAUCACUGCCCUGAACAGUAACUUUUUGCUCAUUAAUAACAGUUCCUGGGUCCACAUAUUUACAUACAAAACAAUAAAACUUAAAUUUAAAAACAUUGAAAGAAAAUAUAAUGUACAAGCUUGAAUUUGGUGAGGAGCUUUUUAUUAUUAUCAUUAUUAUUAUUUACAAAAAAAUAUUCAGAGACCUGGAUCUCAC